CCAGAACGACUUGCUCGUGUUUUAGGGUACUAAAGUACUAGGCUGUAUCUAUAUGUGUAUAUGUCUUAUUAUAUAUAAAUAAUUCAAUCACCUUCUUUCAAGGUUUUUUAAUGUUUCAAUUUUUAAAUAAAAAGUGUAUAUGUACAUGGACAAAUAUCUACCAACCUAGGUUUACUUUUCCUCCUCAAGUUUCUUGUAGAGAAGUAUACCAAUUACUUUUUGUAUUAUAAAAUUGCGAAGAAAUAGAUUAGUAAAAUCUUAUCUAAAAAGUCCUAGAACCUUUAGUGUUUGAUCCGUUCUUUUUAUGAUAUGGACUUUAGUGUUUGAUCUCUUGUUUUUAUGAUAUGUUAUAUAUGGUCCUAGUAGACUCUUUAGUCUCUUGGGAUCUAUGGAGACUUGGUUCCUCUGUUAAAAUCAUUUAAGUAAAUUUCUAGUUUAGUUGUCAAAAACAUUGUUUAUAUGUCUUACUUAUUAGUUUGAUGUCUUUUAAUUGAAUCAUACUAUUUUACUAUUUUGUGUGUGUACGUGAUUCUUCUUAUUCGUCCUCUUAUAUUUAUCUUUUACCUACUACAUUUAUUGGUUCAUCAACUAUUAUUCUUGUUUUGUUUGUAUACUAGGUAGACGAAUAUAUAAUAAAUUUCUUUGAGCUAAUUUCUAACAAAAAAAAUGCAACUAUCACUUUUCAAUUUAUUUGCAGGCAUUACACAUACUGUCAUUUAUUUAAGGCGAGGAUAUGGUACUUUUAAGAACCUUACAUGGCAAUACUCGUACCUAUUCUACUGUAUAUUUAUAAUAUUUAAGAGAUGAAAAAUGAUGGAGACUUUAAAAUAAGAGGGAAAGAGAGAUGUAUGCAUUUUGUUGUCGAAUAAUAGACCUAAUAGUGACAUUAAUCAUGCCGCCAGUACAGAAUAUAUUUUAUUGAUUCAGUUUUUAUAAUGUUAUUGUUUGUAUCGGCAUUUCAAAGAAUAACACCUAGAAUUACUUGAGAAUGAUAAAAUAUGUUACUUAAAUACUUGCACAAAACAUCUACCAUGAAAUACUUGUACCAAAUAUAUACAAAGGUAUACUGUUCCAAAUAUGUCACAUCGGUUAAAUAUAUUUUGUGCUAAGUAUCACUCUACAUUGUUAAACAAUGUGUUGGAUGUGUUGGUGUAGAAGAUGAGUUUAUAAAUCAUUUUUUUAAUUAUAAAGUUGUUUGGUUUAUUUGGGAAAUAUGUUAUAAUUGGUUGAAGGUGUUGAUGAUUAAUUAUUAUGAUGUGAAAUUACAUUUUAUGCGUAACAAAAUUGGUUCUCGUAAGGGAUGUGCAGUGUAUGGAGUGUUAAAGUUCUUGGAUUGGUCUGAUAGGAGAGAAGAGUCAAUAUGAAGGAAAGGAGUUGAAGAAAAAGGUAAAGUUCAGGUCGUGACAUUUUAGUGAUGAUAUUUUGAUUUUUGUUGGCACCCACUUAUAUACUAUGAAAUAUUAUUAUCUCUAAUCGAUGUGAGAUAUCCAAACACACAUCCCGUAAUACCAAAUCGUGCAUGAGACUAUAUAUUUAUGAGUGGUCUAAUAAAGGGUGACAUGAUAAACCCAAUAAACUCUUGCUAAGACUCUAAAUAGAGUUGAUAUUAUGUUAAACUAAAAACAAAAUAUAAAAAAUUCAGUAAUCUAAUAUUUAAAGUUUGUAAGGAAAUAUAUAUAUAUAUAUAUAUAUUUUUUAUUUUUAUUUUCUUUUAUUUCUUUUUUUGUCUUUUUUGCUUGUAGUUAUCUUUUUAGUUUAAAGUGAAUAGAAAAAGUAUGAUUUAUGUUUAGAAAUAAUUAUUAGCAAUGUAAGCCUUCUUAUUAUCUAACAUUAUAUAUUAAGGAUACAUUUUUCAAUCUUAAAAGCUAAGUUAAUAGAUAAGUGAGGUUUUUUUUUAUGUUACAAUAAAAUAACUUCAAACAUCAUCUAUACAUUUAUUAUUUAUACAAAAUAAGUACGUUAAGGUCAAUAAACAUUUAAAAACAAAAACUUCUUUUAAGCAUCAUUUAAUAAGAUUCACAUACAUUGAUCCACGAGUAAGGGUAUCAUCUAGAACCUUUCAUAUUAUUAAUAUCUUUUCAUAUUAUCUGUACCAUGUGCAUUAUAAAAACCUAAAUAUACCACUAAAACACUAAAAAUUAUCAAAAAAAUCAGCACAGAGAGCAUUUUCUUGAAACAAAAAACUAUGAAAUAAGUGAUCACAAUUAUGCAGAAACAAAUAUCUUGUAUAUGCAUGUCACCUCACGUAUAGUUCUGUAGACGUAUCCCUCUGAUGUAACCAACAAUAUUUAGGAAACAUCUGUCUGAGAUAUUUGUCUCGAGAUAUUGAGAUGAGAAGUAGAAAUGUUUUGAGAGUGGGACCUGCAUGCAUGUAAUGAACAGGUUUAGUGUAUAUAGAUAACAUUGUACAAUGUAACUGGGUGAAAGAUAAUACUGUAAUAAUAUGGGAAGGAGGAAUCAAGUUUGUGAUAGAUACAAUGGGCUGUUUAAGAUAACAGGGUGCAGAUUUAUUUAGGUGAAUGUAGAAAACAUU
rnacentral:lncRNA from 1 species